rnacentral:rRNA from 1 species
CCCNUUCUGUGCCGGAGUUAACGCAAUAAGUACCCCGCCUGGGGAGUACGACCGCAAGGUUGAAACUCAAAGGAAUUGACGGGGGCCCGCACAAGCGGUGGAGUAUGUGGUUUAAUUCGACGCAACGCGAAGAACCUUACCAGGUCUUGACAUUGAUGGACAGAACCAGAGAUGGUUCCUCUUCUUCGGAAGCCAGAAAACAGGUGGUGCACGGUUGUCGUCAGCACGUGUCGUGAGAUGCUGGGUUAAGUCCCGCAACGAGCGCAACCCCUAUCUUAUGUUGCCAGCACUUUGGGUGGGGACUCAUGAGAGACAGCCGCAGACAAUGCGGAGGAAGGCGGGGAUGACGUCAAGUCAUCAUGCCCCUUAUGACCUGGGCUACACACGUACUACAAUGGGAGUUAAUAGACGGAAGCGAGAUCGCGAGAUGGAGCAAACCCGAGAAACACUCUCUCAGUUCGGAUCGUAGGCUGCAACUCGCCUACGUGAAGUCGGAAUCGCUAGUAAUCGCAGGUCAGCAUACUGCGGUGAAUACGUUCCCGGGCCUUGUACACACCGC